CUCAAUUGGAAAGAGGAGUGGCGGACGGGUGAGUAACACGUGGGUAACCUACCCAUCAGAGGGGGAUAACACUUGGAAACAGGUGCUAAUACCGCAUAACAGUUUAUGCCGCAUGGCAUAAGAGUGAAAGGCGCUUUCGGGUGUCGCUGAUGGAUGGACCCGCGGUGCAUUAGCUAGUUGGUGAGGUAACGGCUCACCAAGGCCACGAUGCAUAGCCGACCUGAGAGGGUGAUCGGACACACUGGGACUGAGACACGGGCCAGACUCCUACGGGAGGCAGCAGUAGGGAAUCUUCGGCAAUGGACGAAAGUCUGACCGAGCAACGCCGCGUGAGUGAAGAAGGUUUUCGGAUCGUAAAACUCUGUUGUUAGAGAAGAACAAGGACGUUAGUAACUGGACGUCCCCUGACGGUAUCUAACCAGAAAGCCACGGCUAACUACGCGCCAGCAGCCGCGGUAAUACGUAGGUGGCAAGCGUUGUCCGGAUUUAUUGGGCGUAAAGCGAGCGCAGGCGGUUUCUUAAGUCUGAUGUGAAAGCCCCCGGCUCAACCGGGGAGGGUCAUUGGAAACUGGGAGACUUGAGUGCAGAAGAGGAGAGUGGAAUUCCAUGUGUAGCGGUGAAAUGCGUAGAUAUAUGGAGGAACACCAGUGGCGAAGGCGGCUCUCUGGUCUGUAACUGACGCUGAGGCUCGAAAGCGUGGGGAGCAAACAGGAUUAGAUAACCUGGUAGUCCACGCCGUAAACGAUGAGUGCUAAGUGUUGGAGGGUUUCCGCCCUUCAGUGCUGCAGC
rnacentral:rRNA from 1 species